GUCAGUGGCUCCAGCCAUCGCCUCUCCUUCACCUCCAGCCAGCGCCUCUCCUUCCGCCGCAGACGAAAGUCCGAGCGCCGCCCUUGCCAAAAUCCAGCGCCUCUCCUCCUUCCUCCGCAGCCCUCCCCAUUCGAUUUGAACCCCUCCUCCUCCUUCCCCGUUUUCCAUUGAAGGCACCGGCGAGCGGCUGCAUGCAGUGAUUCCCCCUCCCCUUGUCCCGUUUUCCAUUGAAGGCAGCGCGAGCGGCAGCAGAUCCAUUGAUUUCCCGUGGUGGAGCUCAUCCUGGAGGCGGCCGUCGGCGUGCAGGACGCCUGCAACUUCUGCCGGCAAGCAUGUCGCAAGGGAGCUCAUCCUGGUGGGGUAGCAGCUCUGUUCCAGUUCGAUUGAUAGGCAAGUUUGGGAAGCGAACUGGCUACCCUCUGGUGAUUUGCCCCUUUUGUGGUGACGAGGUAAUCGAGCUGCUUUCUGGCCCUGGAGCAAAGAACCCGAACAAGGUGUAUUUGAAGUGCUGCCAGAACGAACAGAAUGUAACUGGGACUUGUGGCUUCUACUUGUUUGCUGACAAAUAUCGAAGGAUGCUGACAAAUAUCAACAUAGGAUAGUUUUUAGCUGGUAGCAUUGUAGCUCUUGUCGUCAUUGUUGUACUGGGUGUGUUGGUUAUGUUGAAGUGAACAUGCAUGUGAAAUUGUGACUUGUGCAAGGAAAUUUAGUUCACAAUUUCCAGCAAUAUGUCAUGUAAGGAACAUGGCGCCAUUAGGUCAUAGUUCGUGAUUUUGGUGAUUGAGCGACAAUAUGAUCAUGUGACUAA